AAUCCAUGCAUCGAGCAUUUUUGAAUUAAGUCUUUAAAUCACUCUCAAGCUUCAUAUAGCGUUUCAUCAUCCAAUUGCCAAAAAGAUGUGAUGUCAUUUCUAAGUUU
rfam:Gossypium hirsutum cultivar TM-1 chromosome 7, whole genome shotgun sequence